rnacentral:rRNA from 1 species
AGCGAACGCUGGCGGCAGGCCUAACACAUGCAAGUCGAGCGGCCGUAGCAAUACGGCAGCGGCAGACGGGAGAGUAACACGUGGGAACGUGCCCUUCAGUUCGGAACAACCCAGGGAAACUUGGGCUAAUACCGGAUACGCCCUUACGGGGAAAGAUUUAUCGCUGAAGGAGCGGCCCGCGUCUGAUUAGCUAGUUGGUGAGGUAACGGCUCACCAAGGCGACGAUCCGUAGCUGGUCNGAGAGGAUGAUCA